ACCUGCGGAGGGAUCAUUACCGAGUUUACAACUCCCAAACCCCUGUGAACAUACCUAUACGUUGCCUCGGCGGAUCAGCCCGCGCCCCGUAAAAAGGGACGGCCCGCCCGAGGACCCCUAAACUCUGUUUUUAGUGGAACUUCUGAGUAAAACAAACAAAUAAAUCAAAACUUUCAACAACGGAUCUCUUGGUUCUGGCAUCGAUGAAGAACGCAGCAAAAUGCGAUAAGUAAUGUGAAUUGCAGAAUUCAGUGAAUCAUCGAAUCUUUGAACGCACAUUGCGCCCGCCAGUAUUCUGGCGGGCAUGCCUGUUCGAGCGUCAUUUCAACCCUCAAGCUCAGCUUGGUGUUGGGACUCGCGGUAACCCGCGUUCCCCAAAUCGAUUGGCGGUCACGUCGAGCUUCCAUAGCGUAGUAAUCAUACACCUCGUUACUGGUAAUCGUCGCGGCCACGCCGUAAAACCCCAACUUCUGAAUGUUGACCUCGGAUCAGGUAGGAAUACCCGCUGAACUUAAGCAUAUCAAUAGCCGGAGGA
rnacentral:rRNA from 1 species